GGGGUCGACUGGAUUUGACAGCGAUUUAGUAAUGUUAAUAAGCAAGUCGAGCGAUUAGUUACAGCUCGUUAAUAUCAACUAAAACUUUUAAAUGGCGAAAAUAAAUACGCUCUUGCUGCAUAAAACUGAAUUAUAGUANGUUUUUGCCUCGUCCUACAAGGUAGGAAGGUGAGAUAUCUCAAAAUUAUUUUUGUUGACAAUAAUUUUAUAUGAGAUACCANACNGUUAACAUAGAGUAAUUAAUUCUUCGAUGAUUACUUGAAUUUUAGAAGAUAAGUAGUNUUUGUGUAGUUUUCAGCAANAAUANUAUCGAAAAUUAAAUGAAAACUAAGCUUGUAGAAAGUUNNUAUUUCAGUCGUUUGGACGAGGGUUCGAUUCCCUCCGACUCCACUU
rnacentral:tmRNA from 1 species